rnacentral:rRNA from 1 species
CAGUCGCCGCGGUAAUACGAAGGGUGCAAGCGUUACUCGGAAUUACUGGGCGUAAAGCGUGCGUAGGUGGUUGUUUAAGUCUGCUGUGAAAGCCCUGGGCUCAACCUGGGAAUUGCAGUGGAUACUGGGCGACUAGAGUAAGGUAGAGGAUAGUGGAAUUUCCGGCGUAGCAGUGAAAUGCGUAGAGAUCGGAAGGAACAUCUGUGGCGAAGGCGACUAUCUGGGCCAACACUGACACUGAGGCACGAAAGCGUGGGGAGCAAACAGGAUUAGAUACCCCUGUAGUCCCUGUCUCUUAUAC